rnacentral:lncRNA from 1 species
UCUUCUAAGGUAAAAGCCAUGGUUUUGAUGUAUGUUACCUUUUUAUCCUUUUUUCUUCUUCUUUCUGAAAUUAAAUUUGCAUCUGUUGUUUUGUCAAAAGGAAAAGUAACCCCCAAUCAUCAUAUAGCAAAAUGUUAAAUAUGCAGAAUAUUGUUUGUUCUUUUAUGUACAUGAAUAUUGUUUAUGCUUAUUUGUACUUUAAGAUGAAUUUUGUUUGGGAUUGGCUUUUUGUUUUUUCAGGUUUAACUUGAUUGUUUGGUGGAACAAAAGUAGACAUGACUACAAAUCGGAGUUUCCUAUAAGAUAUAAUUUGGCUCCGACUAAUUUAAAUUUGUGUUGUUUAAGAUUCUUCUUAUUUUGGUUUCCCAUCCGGUGUCCUGUGUCCGCAUUGGAGCCCCGACUAAUCCGGAUCGUGCGUUGCAAGGCCCAUUAAGGUGGCAGCGCUCCCAACAGAGUUUUCUCCAUACCCAGGAUCAAACCCUCGAUGUGUUGUAUAAGAUUCAUUAAAGAGAGACACACUCUCAAUAUUUGUAGGAAUAACAACCCUGGACCACAUUUCGACCCUAUCUUUAAGACGUAGCCAAUGUCAUGCAGCUUCAAAUUCAAUCAGAACUCUGCAACAAAUGCUAUUUUUCAAUUUAAAAUUGUUAAUUGUGAUUUUUUUCAAUAAAUCUUCAAAGCUCAAAUUCAAAAUGUAUGACUGAGGAUGAAGGGAUAUAAUCCAUCCACUCUGAUCUUGGGCUAUGGCUAGUACAUUAUUUAUUUAUUUAUUUAUUUGUCAUGACAACUCCUUGUUUCCUAACCUAUUAGUUUUUCUGGGGCCAAUUUGUUGUUUUCUUUUUGGUUCUUGAGUCUUAGUUAUUCAAGAAUAUUUAGUUACAACAACCCCCAUCUUCCAUUAACC